rnacentral:rRNA from 1 species
CUACGGGUUGCUGCAGUGGGGAAUAUUGCACAAUGGGCGCAAGCCUGAUGCAGCAACGCCGCGUGAGGGAUGAAGGCCUUCGGGUUGUAAACCUUUUUUAGCAGGGAAGAAGCGAAAGUGACGGUACCUGCAGAAAAAGCACCGGCUAACUACGUGCCAGCAGCCGCGGUAAUACGUAGGGUGCAAGCGUUGUCCGGAAUUAUUGGGCGUAAAGAGCUCGUAGGCGGUUUGUCACGUCUGCUGUGAAAAUCCAAGGCUCAACCUUGGACUUGCAGUGGGUACGGGCAGGCUAGAGUGCGGUAGGGGGGAUGGGAAUUCCUGGUGUAGCGGUGGAAUGCGCAGAUAUCAGGAGGAACACCAAUGGCGAAGGCACAUCUCUGGGCCGUAACUGACGCUGAGGAGCGAAAGCGUGGGGAGCGAACAGGAUUAGAUACCCGUGUAGUC